UCGAUGAAGAACGCAGCGAAAUGCGAUAAGUAAUGUGAAUUGCAGAAUUCAGUGAAUCAUCGAAUCUUUGAACGCACAUUGCGCCCUUUGGUAUUCCGAGGGGGCAUGCCUGUUCGAGCGUCAUUAUAACCACUCAAGCCUUGGCUUGGUAUUGGGGUUCGCGGUUUCGCGGCUCUUAAAAUCAGUGGCGGUGCCGUCUGGCUCUAAGCGUAGUAAUUUUUCUCGCUAUAGGGUCCCGGUGGUGGCUUGCCAAAACCCCCCUUAUUUCCUACGGUUGACCUCGGAUCAGGUAGGGAUACCCGCUGAACUUAA
rnacentral:rRNA from 1 species